rnacentral:sRNA from 1 species
GCUGACCUCCAGCCCGGCCCACGAGGAUCUGAAGCAGCAGCUGGCUUGCAUCUUGGCGCAGCGAGCACCAUGGAGCCCUACCAACGUCCCAGGCUGGGGUUAGCCCUAUGGUGGCGUGGGGCAGAGGGGGAGAAUCCCAGCGGAGGAAGACUGCUAGGACCUGGGGGAGCUGCUGGGAGGCGGGGCUCGAGCCGUGCCUCAUAGAGGACGUACAUCUUCACCUUUCUCCUGAGCUCCCGGGUCUUUAUGCCCCCUCAUGACCUGCUGGCCCGCGUGGGACAGAUCUGCGUGGAGCAGAAGCAGCAGCUGGAGGCCGGGCCUGAAAAGGCCAAGCUGAAGUCCUUCUCAGCCAAGAUCGUGCAGCUCCUGAAGGAGUGGACGGAGGCCUUCCCCUAUGACUUCCAGGAUGAGAAAGCCAUGGCCGAGCUGAAAGCCAUCACACACCGUGUCACCCAGUGUGACGAGGAGAAUGGCACAGUGAAGAAGGCCAUUGCCCAGAUGACGCAGAGCCUGUUGCUGUCCCUGGCUGCCCGGAGCCAGCUCCAGGAACUGCGAGAGAAGCUCCGGCCACCGGCUAUAGACAAGGGGCCCAUCCUCAAGACCAAGCCACCGGCCGCCCAGAAGGACAUCCUGGGCGUGUGCUGCGACCCCCUGGUGCUGGCCCAGCAGCUGACUCACAUUGAGCUGGACAGGGUCAGCAGCAUUUACCCUGAGGACUUGAUGCAGAUCGUCAGCCACAUGGACUCCUU